GGAAGGAUCAUUCACAAUGAGUGUUUUAUGGCACUCUUUAAAAAUCCAUAUCCACCUUGUGUGCAAUGUUUGUUGGGAGAGAGGCAACUCUUUCCCUUCACAAAUAUCAACCUAUAUCUUUAACAACAUUCGUCUGAUAACAUAUUAUGAAUAUACUUAAUUCAAAAUAUAACUUUCAACAACGGAUCUCUUGGCUCUCGCAUCGAUGAAGAACGCAGCGAAAUGCGAUACGUAAUGUGAAUUGCAGAAUUCAGUGAAUCAUCGAAUCUUUGAACGCAUAUUGCGCUCUUUGGUAUUCCGAAGAGCAUGCUUGUUUGAGUAUCAGUAAACACCUCAACCUCCUCUUGUUUUUUCAAAAGGAGGGUGGACUUGAGCUAUCCCAACAACCUUCACCGGUAGGCGGGCGGCUUGAAAUGCAGGUGCAGCUGGACUUUUAUCUGAGCUAAAAGCAUAUCUAUUUAGUCCUCGUCAAACAGGAUUAUUACUAUUGCUGCAGCUAACAUAAAGGAUAAUUGUCCUCAUUGCUGACUGAUGCAGGAUUUUACGACACUUUAUGUGUUGUUCAACUCGAUCUCAAAUCAAGUAAGACUACCCGCUGAACUUAAGCAUAUCAAUAAGCGGAGGAAAAGAAACUAACAAGGAUUCCCCUAGUAACGGCGAGUGAAGCGGGAUGAGCUCAAAUUUGAAAUCUGGCUGGUUUACUAGUCCGAGUUGUAAUUUAAAGAAGCGUUUUCGGUGGCAGCCUGGGUAUAAAUCCUUUGGAAUAGGGUAUCAUAGAGGGUGAGAAUCCCGUCUUUGACCUAGUGCAUGCUACUAUGUGAUACGUUUUCAAAGAGUCGAGUUGUUUGGGAAUGCAGCUCAAAAUGGGUGGUAAAUUUCAUCUAAAGCUAAAUAUUGGCGAGAGACCGAUAGCGAACAAGUACCGUGAGGGAAA
rnacentral:rRNA from 1 species